rnacentral:lncRNA from 1 species
AAGAUGCGCGCCCGGUGUCUUGCAGUAGCGCCAGUCGCCGAGCCCGGCCGCGCGUGCAGGUCCUGUUCCACGUGACGAGGCCGGAAGUGAGCCGAGCCCGCGGCCGCCGAGAGGCUGCAGUGCCUGAGGCUCUGAGCCUUCCGGGGACGCCCGCGAGCUGCGGAGGCAGCUGCCGGCCGGCGGACGCGCUGGGGCUGUGCGUGGCGCAGCUGGAGCUGCCGCCCGCCUAGUUCGGGCCCGCGCCCGGCGGCGCCGUGGAGCUCUACUACGCCGCGCAGCCGGCCGACGAGCGCGGCGCCUGCGCCGGCGGCGACCCCGCGAAGGCCAACGCCAUCCGCCCGGGCAAGGACGGCGCCGCAGCGAGGCCGCCGCACCUGCGGAGGAUCGGCGCCGUGGGCCUGCACCGCGCGCGGGAGGGCGCCGCGCUCAGCGAGCUGCACCUGGACGCCGACGUGGUCGUCCGCCUUCCCUCCGGGCCGGCCAAGCCCGGAGCCGUGGUCGCCGCCCACGUCGCCAUCGCCAGCGACUCCACUGUGGACUUCUUCGUGCUCAGAGCCAAGGUGAAGAAGGGGGUGCGGAUCCUGAGCGCCCAGCCCAGCGAGCCCCGGCACUGGGCCGUGAAGCAGGAGGUGGGCAACGGCGGGAAGCAUGCCACCGCCACCGUGUCCUGCCAGCGCCUGGCACAGGCAGCGCGCAACAGGUAAGCCGCCUCCCUCCCCGUCCGGCGGGCCAGCCCGCAUCCACGGCUGCUCCCUGGAGCUGUGAACCCCCAUCCCAGAGGCCUGGAGGCGCCGGCACUGGGCUCCGGAGUGGGGUCCUCUGUGUGUCCCGCCCCGGGCGCCCCCUCGGGGCUCUACCCUCCUUAGCUGAGCUGAGGCUACCUGCCCACACGGGGCUGUUUUCUGCGUGUGUUGGAGUGAGCCCUCGGCCGGUCACACCCAGGAAGCUGCCAGGUGAGUUCUCAGACACCUGUGCUGUGAUCUAAAACAGCUGUUUUCCCAUCGGAAAAGCAGCGCAGACUUGAUUUAAGCUAUUUGGAAAAACAGUUGCUUGAGAGACAGGACCUGAAAUCCUGUACCGAUGCCCUGGUGCCCGGGAAGGGCCCUCGGUAGCCUGCCGGGGCUCGGUGCGUCGGCUCCCGUGGUAGAGCUACUCGCGUCACGGUAUGCACGCAGAUUGGAGGCGCUCUGCUGUCUGCUCGUGUUGGAAACACUUUCUCCGACGUUAAGCGUUCCUGAGAAACGUUUCUAACGCGUCACAGCCUCCUGCCGCGCGGAGUUAGCCUGGUGCAAACAGCCGGCCGCCUCCGCCUUCGGAGCACUGGGCUCUUCCCCAACGCAUUCUUAGCCGGCAGGGCCCCUUCCGCAUCCACCUCUGUCUGCUUCUCCUUUUCCUUGAGGUGACCUUGGAGUCAAGAUGCGUCACCCCUUUCAGGGCCUGGGACACAGUCUCGGUGUUUCCCCGUGGGGGUCGGCGGGCAGGGAACGACCCUUCCGCUGUUGGACGCGUUUUCCUACGUGCGUGUUGCAAGUCGGCCGCAGAGAAAAACCGAUUCUUCCUCCGCAUUUUAAUUCCGUUUGGACAUCAGAACCUCGGCCCCUCGGGCCUUCCUUCCUGUGAAACCAGAGAAGCGCCUGCCCUGAGCUGCUGGCCGGCUCGGUACCCCAGGCACGUCCGGGUGGGGUCGGGGUCAGGGCUCGGGGCGGCGUCUUUGAAUGUGUGAAAGAAAGGCCAGGAAGAAGCGUGCGCGGGGUCCCUGGUGCACGUGGGAGGCCAGGGGCCACGUUCAGUGUCCUCAAUCGAAUGCACAUCAUGUCUGAUGGACCCACAGGAUGAGCGUUGGUUAUGCAGAUGGGGUGAACGGCUGACGCACAGUGGGUUAGUUUGUGUGAAUGGCCCUCGGUCAGACGCACGGCGAGACUCCUGUGGGGCGGGUCUCUGAGCCUCUCUGCCAGAAGCCUGUUUCCAAGGCUCCGGGAACCACC